AUCCUGUCUUUCGGUUAAAAAAAAAAAAAGCUGUAACUGUUGAAACAGCAUGCACCUAAUAAGCUACUUCUAAAUCUGUCUCCAUCAUUUCAGACUCUGGACUAGCAGAACAGAGCUUGCAGAAUCCUUCUCAAGCCUCUGCGGCAGAGAUGGAGAAAAUAAGCUUAGUCAUAUUCUCCAAAACAAACAGUUUGGCUGAAAAGUUUCCAAGGUAUGUUGAAAGAGAAGAGCUAUGAAAAGGUAUCAAAUAUCAGAG
rnacentral:lncRNA from 1 species